rnacentral:lncRNA from 1 species
AACUAAGAUAAAUCCUUUCCUCCCUGUGUUGGUUUUGAUCAGUGUUUUAAUGACAGCAGCAAAAAAAAAAAAGCAAACUAGAACAGCUAUGUUCUGCUCUUAGCAAAGGAAUCCUGCUGCAUCAGGAGUAGGAUCAACAGGAUAGAUCAACUUGCCAGCAAGAAGGAAAGCAAGCAGGCAAAGCAAGAGCUUCCUUCUUCCACAUCUUUUCAUCUGGCCUGCCACUGGAAGAUGCCACCAUCAAUUAGGGCAAGCCUUCCAAGGACAAGAAAAUCUCUCAGCUGUGUGCUCAGCCACUCACCUUGAUUCCAGAUCCAAUCAAGUGGACGUUUAACCAUCACAGUGUGUGCAGACUGAAAGUUGCUAAUUAGAUGUGAUCACAUCCCGGUAGGUUUCACUUAGGUCUAAUUUUACCCAUGAUAGUUCCUGAUGGUUGUGUGUGUGUGUGUUGGGUUGUGUGGUGUGUUUGUAUGGUGUACACGGUACAUGGUGUGUGUAUAUGUGCAUGUGUGGGUAUGCUAUAUAUAAUAUGUGGGUGUCUUAGUCUUUGUAUUCCUGCACAAAACAUCAUGGCCUAGAAGCAAGUUGGGAAGGAAAGGGUUUAUUCACCUUACACUUCCACAUUGUUGUUCAUCACCAAAGGAAGUCAGGACAGGAACUCACUCUGGGCAGGAACCUGGAGGCAGGAGCUGAUGCAGAGGCCAUGGAGGGAUGUUACUUACUGGCUUGCUUCCCCUGGCUUGCUCAGCCUGCUUUCUGGUAGAUCCCAGGACUACCAGCCCAGGGAUGGCACCACCCACAAUAGGCUGGG